rnacentral:miRNA from 1 species
AAAAGUCUUAGUGCGUUUUAAG